CCUACGGGUGGCAGCAGUGGGGAAUAUUGCACAAUGGGCGCAAGCCUGAUGCAGCCAUGCCGCGUGUGUGAAGAAGGCCUUCGGGUUGUAAAGCACUUUCAGCGGGGAGGAAGGCGUUAAGGUUAAUAACCUUGGCGAUUGACGUUACCCGCAGAAGAAGCACCGGCUAACUCCGUGCCAGCAGCCGCGGUAAUACGGGGGGUGCAAGCGUUAAUCGGAAUUACUGGGCGUAAAGCGCACGCAGGCGGUCUGUCAAGUCGGAUGUGAAAUCCCCGGGCUCAACCUGGGAACUGCAUUCGAAACUGGCAGGCUAGAGUCUUGUAGAGGGGGGUAGAAUUCCAGGUGUAGCGGCGAAAUGCGUAGAGAUCUGGAGGAAUACCGGUGGCGAAGGCGGCCCCCUGGACAAAGACUGACGCUCAGGUGCGAAAGCGUGGGGAGCAAACAGGAUUAGAUACCCCGGUAGUC
rnacentral:rRNA from 1 species